ACACGAAUAUUAACAUUUCAAAAUUAUUAGGACGAAGAACUGCACAGAGAAGGAUUUCAUAGAGAGGAUGAAGCAGUUUAAGGCAGAUCAAAGGAAUAAGGGACGCUGUACCUCCGUCAAGGCCGCAUUAACAAAGAUCGCCAACUCUUGUUUUAACCAGGCGGACAGAUGAGCACGAAUGACCAAAACCAAACGUGUCCUGGAGUGGAUGCAAACGCAGUGUGGGACAUCCUCCUGCCCGCUGGACCGACGAUUUACGUAAAAUUGCCGGUGUAGACUGGAUGAGGAUAGCGGAAAACCGUAAUGUCUGAAGUGCUCGCAACUUUGGCGUUACAAAGGAAAUUACCCAGGGUUGGGUAUAAUUUAAGAAGUUUUGGACGUUUAGAGAAGAAGGCCGCAUCGGGCGACAAGUUUUUAAUAUAAGCAGUGCUAACAAGCAAAAGGUCUUCCAUCCAUGGAAACUUUUAGUAUUCAUUAACAAACAACAUUAAAAUAAAUAAGUAAUUUUAUGCUUAUAUGUGUCCAUUAUUUAAUUAUUAAAAAUUUGAGCACAAUGACAUUAAGUAGCUAUUACCUAAAAUAAAGUACUAGUUUGCCUACCAUAGGAAGAGA
rnacentral:misc_RNA from 1 species